rnacentral:rRNA from 1 species
AGCGAACGCUGGCGGCAGGCCUAACACAUGCAAGUCGAACGAUCCUUCGGGAUAGUGGCGGACGGGUGAGUAACACGUGGGAACGUGCCCUUUGGUUCGGAACAACUCAGGGAAACUUGAGCUAAUACCGAAUGUGCCCUUCGGGGGAAAGAUUUAUCGCCAUUGGAGCGGCCCGCGUCUGAUUAGCUAGUUGGUGAGGUAAUGGCUCACCAAGGCGACGAUCAGUAGCUGGUCUGAGGGGAUGAUCAGCCACACUGGGACUGAGACACGGCCCAGACUCCUACGGGAGGCAGCAGUGGGGAAUCUUGCGCAAUGGGCGAAAGCCUGACGCAGCCAUGCCGCGUGAAUGAUGAAGGUCUUAGGAUUGUAAAAUUCUUUCACCGGGGACGAUAAUGACGGUACCCGGAGAAGAAGCUCCGGCUAACUUCGUGCCAGCAGCCGCAGUAACAC